GAUGAACGCUGGCGGCGUGCCUAAUACAUGCAAGUCGAGCGAACAGACGAGGAGCUUGCUCCUCUGACGUUAGCGGCGGACGGGUGAGUAACACGUGGAUAACCUACCUAUAAGACUGGGAUAACUUCGGGAAACCGGAGCUAAUACCGGAUAAUAUAUUGACCCGCAGGGUUCAAUAGUGAAAGACGGUUUUGCUGUCACUUAUAGAUGGAUCCGCGCCGCAUUAGCUAGUUGGUAAGGUAACGGCUUACCAAGGCAACGAUGCGUAGCCGACCUGAGAGGGUGAUCGGCCACACUGGAACUGAGACACGGUCCAGACUCCUACGGGAGGCAGCAGUAGGGAAUCUUCCGCAAUGGGCGAAAGCUUGACGGAGCAACGCCGCGUGAGUGAUGAAGGUCUUCGGAUCGUAAAACUCUGUUAUUAGGGAAGAACAAAUGUGUAAGUAACUAUGCACGUCUUGACGGUACCUAAUCAGAAAGCCACGGCUAACUACGU
rnacentral:rRNA from 1 species